UAUCCGGAUUCACUGGGUUUAAAGGGUGCGUAGGCGGGCAGGUAAGUCAGUGGUGAAAUCCUAGAGCUUAACUCUAGAACUGCCAUUGAUACUAUCUGUCUUGAAUAUUGUGGAGGUNAGCGGAAUAUGUCAUGUAGCGGUGAAAUGCUUAGAUAUGACAUAGAACACCNAUUGCGAAGGCAGCUUACUACCAUGGGAUUGACGCUGAGGCACGAAAGCGUGGGGAUCAAACAGGAUUAGAUACCCUGGUAGUCCACGCCCUAAACGAUGA
rnacentral:rRNA from 1 species